AUUGAACGCUGGCGGCAGGCUUAACACAUGCAAGUCGAGCGGGGUGAUGUAGCUUGCUACAUUACCUAGCGGCGGACGGGUGAGUAAUGCUUAGGAAUCUGCCUAUUAGUGGGGGACAACAUUCCGAAAGGAAUGCUAAUACCGCAUACGCCCUACGGGGGAAAGCAGGGGAUCUUCGGACCUUGCGCUAAUAGAUGAGCCUAAGUCAGAUUAGCUAGUUGGUGGGGUAAAGGCCUACCAAGGCGACGAUCUGUAGCGGGUCUGAGAGGAUGAUCCGCCACACUGGGACUGAGACACGGCCCAGACUCCUACGGGAGGCAGCAGUGGGGAAUAUUGGACAAUGGGCGAAGGCCUGAUCCAGCCAUGCCGCGUGUGUGAAGAAGGCCCUUUGGUUGUAAAGCACUUUAAGCGAGGAGGAGGCUACUUGGAUUAAUACUCUAGGAUAGUGGACGUUACUCGCAGAAUAAGCACCGGCUAACUCUGUGCCAGCCGCCGCCGUAAGAC
rnacentral:rRNA from 1 species